GCACCGACUCAGGAGAGCUUGAGAGAUUUCCCUUCUGCGUGGAGCUGAGGGAUUUCUGAGAUGAGAAGUCUUGGAUGAUGUGACUAACCCCAUCCUUGGAUUAAACAGAACACGUGAGACACUUCAGAAAGGGAGGAGGAGGAGGAGGAGGAGCAGCAGGAGGAGAUGUUAGCAGGAUGCAGGCAUUUUUGCAGGAACUCCCCGUGCUUCCAGAGUGGGGGAAGCUGUGUCCUAUCCACCUGUGUCCUAUCCACCAGCAGGGGACACAGCUGUCCUAUCCAGCUGUGUCCCCUGCUGGGCUCCGUCAGUGCUGGAUUCUGUCAAGUGGGUCCCUCCAGAGAAGCUUACAAGGAACCAGCCAAGCCACUGGGUCACUCUGACACACCCAGGUAGGUGACCUGGAGUAAGCUCUGUUCACUUGUUCAUUGUAACACUACGUCCUCUGCCAAGGGAGGCUGCAUUUGGAUGGGGGCUGUGGGACUGGCACUGAGCAUGCUCAGGAAGGCGCCUGCCCGGGCUGGCCAAGGAGUCUUCCCCAUAGGAACAGGGUUUCCUGUGGGGCCCUGGCUGUCUUUGUUCUGGAGACACAGCUUGGAGAAUUGUCUCCAGGGGAUUCCUUUCUUGUGCUACUAAUAAAUCUUCCUCCACUGUUUUACCUCCCGCUUGUGCAUAGAAGCUUUGCACUCAACAAAGGGGCCCACUGUGUAGGGUCACAAAGCCCUUGACCCUACACUGAAUUCUAAACUGUGGGACACUGGGAACACGUUUUAACCGGCAGGAGAGCAACCCGGAAAGCCUGAGUCACCACACAAAUGAGAGCCAGAAUAAAGCCUACCUGAUAUUUUUAUUUUAACAUACCUGGGGAAGUACAGGCCAAAGAAUAUGAGGACCGAGGAAUACCUUCCAAAUAUUCCCAAAUUGAUGCUCAAACAACAAGGAGAUGAUCACACAUUUCCUGAAGGAGGUUGCUGGAACACUUACAGGUCAGGAGAGAGCCUACCUCAGUGAAGGACGUAGCAGAUCACAAGGAGCCUAUGCAUGUUGGAGGGCUUAAUCUAGUGAGAUGAAGCAGGGAGAAGCCAGCUCCAGGGAGAGCCACUGAGGACCUGGGUUCCACGUGUCAGAUUAAGGAAUGCAGCGUGGGAGGCUGAUGUGGCCCAUGAUUAUACAGCCAGCAGGUGUUGGGAUUCCAAGGCACAGAAAGCUCCGAGCACAUGACCCCAGAACUCUCCACUCGGUCACCUCCACAUUUUCUAGGAUUGUCUCCUUCUAAUAGGCUCAUUCCUGAAGUCAGCACUUUAUAAAAGUAUAUAUUCUAUUCACUCAUGACCUCAUGCAUGGUGUAAUUACAGAAUUCUACUAAUUUAGAAUAAUAUCAAAAUAAAGGAGUGGGAAUACACAUAAAAAGAGGAAAUAGUUUACGUAGAAAUUGAACUCCUAAAUGAACAUAUGGAAAAACUCUAAUAAGAUUGAUAUAACUUUA